rnacentral:lncRNA from 1 species
AAAGAGAACACUUACAAUUAAGAAAGACACUUACUCUAAUCAAAUUACAAUUAAGAUUUAUGAUCUAAUAGAUGACAUGUGCGUGAGAGAAAUUCAAAAGGAGAACAUUUUUAUCAUGAACGACAUUGUGCUUGAUUACUCAUAUUCAGAAUGUCGUUAUCUCAGUAUGCAAAAAAUGCAGCCCUUUAAACGCGUGACUGUUGAUAAAAUUGGUUAUUGUUGCUAUGGUCUUUAUAGGGCUCUUCUUACCCCUGUACAUUGUCAGUUGAGAGAUCCUGACAACAACGAUCUUUUAAAAAGUUCAAGUAGUAACAAUCUCUUAAAUCCUCAUUGGUUGAAACUACUAUAGUUUACACAAUAAUGAGCAGAAGUAAAAGUUGAUUGUAUAAGUUAACAUAAAAAAUGAAGUACCAAGUAAUGAUAAUAGUCGUUGAUCUUUCCUUCAACCAAAAUAGAUCUCUUAGAUACUCGAACGACCUGCUACAAAUACUGAAAACGAAGCGAACUUUAGCAACCACAAUCUCCAAUAUUUGAUGAAAAUAAAACAAAAAUAAAUACAUAUAUAUAUAUAUAUUGAUAUCAAAUUUUACCUUUUGAAUGUUUGUUCUUCCAUGACAAUAACUCCUUUGAUGUGAAGAAAGAAAUACAUGAAGCAGAUUGUAUAGAAGAAAUUCUGGAAGUUCAUAACAGUCGAUUGUCGUCAAAAUUGCAAAAAGAUAAAGAGCACGAUUAGGACAAACAAAUAAAAAAGAGUUUCCAUUUUCUUACUUUCUAGAUAUACAUUUUGAGGGAAUAGGUAUAACACAAUAAUGAAACGAUUUGCACUUGUUUUGGAAUGAGAGAGAGCACACAAAUCAUUGAUCUUUACAUUAUAAAUAAGAACAUAUCGGGAGAUUUUAGGGGAAAAAAUAAAGGAAGCAGAUCACGUACUGGGGGUGAGGGUUUUCAUUCAAUAUGUGAGCAGUGAUACGAUGUAGGUUAAAAAUACACAAACAAAGAAGAACUGAGAGCAAGGGGAAGGGUAUUCGAUUUACAACAUUGCACACAAUAUCUAUAUAAGGAUUGAGAAUCCUAUAGAUUUGAGAGGACAUUAAAACCUUCCUUAAAGAGAAAACUUGAG